rnacentral:rRNA from 1 species
CUACGGGGGGCAGCAGUUGAGAAUUUUUUGCAAUGCGCGCAAGCGUGACAAAGUGAGCCAGAGUGCUUUUCAACAUGAAAAGCUUUUGCCAAGUGUAAAAAGCUUGGCGAAUAAGGACUGGGUAAGACGAGUGCCAGCCGCCGCGGUAAUACUCGCGGUCCAAGUCGCAGCCAUUUUUAUUGGGUCUAAAACAUCCGUAGCUUGCUUAAAAAGUUCUUUGUGAAAUCUUAUUGCUUAAAAAUGAGACGUGCAAGGAAUACUCUUAAGCUAGAGACUGGAAGACGUAAGAAGUAUGUUCGGAGUAUCGGUAAAAUGAGUUAAUCCCGGGCGGACUCACAAUAGCGAAGGCAUCUUACGAGGACAGUUCUGACAGUAAGGGAUGAAGGCUAGGGGCGCAAAACGGAUUAGAUACCCCCGUAGUC